rnacentral:rRNA from 1 species
CCCUUAGAUGUUCUGGGCGGCCCGCGCACUACAAUGGCGUGUGCAGCGAGUGCCGAAGUAGAGUUUUCCGAGGUAUUCUUGCAAUGCUCGUUUUGAUGGGGAUAGACCCUUACAACUGUUGGUUUUGAACGAGGAAUUCCUUGUAAGCAUGGUUUAUCAUCCGACGCUGAAUGCGUCCCUGCCCUUUGUACACACCGCCCGUCGCUCCUACCGAUGAGUCGUCCGGUGAAGUUCGUAGACCUCGUGAUCGCGGAUCACUGGGGGAAGCAAAAUGAACCUCGCGGUUUAGAGGAAGGAGAAGUCGUAACA